rnacentral:rRNA from 1 species
CUACGGGCCGCUCCAGUGAGGAAUAUUGCACAAUGGGGGGAACCCUGAUGCAGCAACGCCGCGUGGAGGAUGACGCAUUUCGGUGUGUAAACUCCUUUUAUAUGUCAAGAAAAUGACGGUAGCAUAUGAAUAAGCACCGGCUAACUCCGUGCCAGCAGCCGCGGUAAUACGGAGGGUGCAAGCGCUACUCGGAAUCACUGGGCGUAAAGGACGCGUAGGCGGGUUGGUAAGUCAGGUGUGAAAUCCUACAGCUUAACUGUAGAACUGCACUUGAAACUUCUAAUCUAGAGUAUGGGAGGGGGAGAUGGAAUUAGUGGUGUAGGGGUAAAAUCCGUAGAUAUCACUAGGAAUACCUAAAGCGAAGGCGAUCUCCUGGAACAUUACUGACGCUAAGGCGUGAAAGCGUGGGGAGCAAACAGGAUUAGAUACCCUGGUAGUC